AUUGAACGCUGGCGGCAUGCUUUACACAUGCAAGUCGAACGGUAACAGGCCGCAAGGUGCUGACGAGUGGCGAACGGGUGAGUAAUGCAUCGGAACGUGCCCAGUCGUGGGGGAUAACUACUCGAAAGAGUAGCUAAUACCGCAUACGAUCUAUGGAUGAAAGCGGGGGACCGUAAGGCCUCGCGCGAUUGGAGCGGCCGAUGUCAGAUUAGGUAGUUGGUGGGGUAAAGGCUCACCAAGCCAACGAUCUGUAGCUGGUCUGAGAGGACAACCAGCCACACUGGGACUGAGACACGGCCCAGACUCCUACGGGAGGCAGCAGUGGGGAAUGUUGGACAAUGGGCGCAAGCCCGAUCCAGCAAUGCCGCGUGCAGGAAGAAGGCCUUCGGGUUGUAAACUGCUUUUGUACGGAACGAAACGGCUCUGGUUAAUACCCGGGGCUAAUGACGGUACCGGAAGAAUAAGCACCGGCUAACUACGUG
rnacentral:rRNA from 1 species